GACGAACGCUGGCGGCAGGCUUAACACAUGCAAGUCGAACGCAUCCUUCGGGGUGAGUGGCAGACGGGUGAGUAACGCGUGGGAACGUGCCCUUCAGUUCGGGAUAACCCAGGGAAACUUGGGCUAAUACCGGAUACGUGCGAGAGCAGAAAGAUUUAUCGCUGAAGGAUCGGCCCGCGUCUGAUUAGCUAGUUGGUGGGGUAAUGGCCCACCAAGGCGACGAUCAGUAGCUGGUCUGAGAGGAUGAUCAGCCACAUUGGGGCUGAGACACGGCCCAAACUCCUACGGGAGGCAGCAGUGGGGAAUAUUGGACAAUGGGCGCAAGCCUGAUCCAGCCAUGCCGCGUGAGUGAUGAAGGCCUUAGGGUUGUAAAGCUCUUUCGUCCGGGACGAUAAUGACGGUACCGGAAGAAGAAGCCCCGGCUAACUUUGUGCCAGCCGCCGCCGUAACAC
rnacentral:rRNA from 1 species